UACGUAGGGUGCGAGCGUUAAUCGGAAUUACUGGGCGUAAAGCGUGCGCAGGCGGUUUGUUAAGAUAGGCGUGAAAUCCCCGGGCUCAACCUGGGAACUGCGCUUAUGACUGGCAAGCUAGAGUACGGCAGAGGGGGGUGGAAUUCCACGUGUAGCAGUGAAAUGCGUAGAGAUGUGGAGGAACACCAAUGGCGAAGGCAGCCCCCUGGGUCGAUACUGACGCUCAUGCACGAAAGCGUGGGUAGCAAACAGG
rnacentral:rRNA from 2 species